rnacentral:rRNA from 1 species
CCUACGGGUCGCAGCAGUGGGGAAUAUUGCACAAUGGGCGCAAGCCUGAUGCAGCCAUGCCGCGUGUGUGAAGAAGGCCUUCGGGUUGUAAAGCACUUUCAGCGGGGAGGAAGGCGAUAAGGUUAAUAACCUUGUCGAUUAACGUUACCCGCAGAAGAAGCACCGGCUAACUCCGUGCCAGCAGCCGCGGUAAUACGGAGGGUGCAAGCGAUAAUCGGAAUUACUGGGCGUAAAGCGCACGCAGGCGGUCUGUCAAGUCGGAUGUGAAAUCCCCGGGCUCAACCUGGGAACUGCAUUCGAAACAGGCAGGCUGGAGUCUUGUAGAGGGGGGUAGAAUUCCAGGUGUAGCGGUGAAAUGCGUAGAGAUCUGGAGGAAUACCGGUGGCGAAGGCGGCCCCCUGGACAAAGACUGACGCUCAGGUGCGAAAGCGUGGGGAGCAAACAGGAUUAGAUACCCGUGUAGUC